rnacentral:rRNA from 1 species
AGAGUUUGAUCCUGGCUCAGGACGAACGCUGGCGGCGUGCCUAAUACAUGCAAGUCGAACGAACUCUGGUAUUGAUUGGUGCUUGCAUCAUGAUUUACAUUUGAGUGAGUGGCGAACUGGUGAGUAACACGUGGGAAACCUGCCCAGAAGCGGGGGAUAACACCUGGAAACAGAUGCUAAUACCGCAUAACAACUUGGACCGCAUGGUCCGAGCUUGAAAGAUGGCUUCGGCUAUCACUUUUGGAUGGUCCCGCGGCGUAUUAGCUAGAUGGUGGGGUAACGGCUCACCAUGGCAAUGAUACGUAGCCGACCUGAGAGGGUAAUCGGCCACAUUGGGACUGAGACACGGCCCAAACUCCUACGGGAGGCAGCAGUAGGGAAUCUUCCACAAUGGACGAAAGUCUGAUGGAGCAACGCCGCGCGAGUGAAGAAGGGUUUCGGCUCGUAAAACUCUGUUGUUAAAGAAGAACAUAUCUGAGAGUAACUGUUCAGGUAUUGACGGUAUUUAACCAGAAAGCCACGGCUAACUACGUGCCAGCAGCCGCGGUAAUACGUAGGUGGCAAGCGUUGUCCGGAUUUAUUGGGCGUAAAGCGAGCGCAGGCGGUUUUUUAAGUCUGAUGUGAAAGCCUUCGGCUCAACCGAAGAAGUGCAUCGGAAACUGGGAAACUUGAGUGCAGAAGAGGACAGUGGAACUCCAUGUGUAGCGGUGAAAUGCGUAGAUAUAUGGAAGAACACCAGUGGCGAAGGCGGCUGUCUGGUCUGUAACUGACGCUGAGGCUCGAAAGUAUGGGUAGCAAACAGGAUUAGAUACCCUGGUAGUCCAUACCGUAAACGAUGAAUGCUAAGUGUUGGAGGGUUUCCGCCCUUUAGUGCUGCAGCUAACGCAUUAAGCAUUCCGCCUGGGGAGUACGGCCGCAAGGCUGAAACUCAAAGGAAUUGACGGGGGCCCGCACAAGCGGUGGAGCAUGUGGUUUAAUUCGAAGCUACGCGAAGAACCUUACCAGGUCUUGACAUACUAUGCAAAUCUAAGAGAUUAGACGUUCCCUUCGGGGACAUGGAUACAGGUGGUGCAUGGUUGUCGUCAGCUCGUGUCGUGAGAUGUUGGGUUAAGUCCCGCAACGAGCGCAACCCUUAUUAUCAGUUGCCAGCAUUAAGUUGGGCACUCUGGUGAGACUGCCGGUGACAAACCGGAGGAAGGUGGGGAUGACGUCAAAUCAUCAUGCCCCUUAUGACCUGGGCUACACACGUGCUACAAUGGAUGGUACAACGAGUUGCGAACUCGCGAGAGUAAGCUAAUCUCUUAAAGCCAUUCUCAGUUCGGAUUGUAGGCUGCAACUCGCCUACAUGAAGUCGGAAUCGCUAGUAAUCGCGGAUCAGCAUGCCGCGGUGAAUACGUUCCCGGGCCUUGUACACACCGCCCGUCACACCAUGAGAGUUUGUAACACCCAAAGUCGGUGGGGUAACCUUUUAGGAACCAGCCGCCUAAGGUGGGACAGAUGAUUAGGGUGAAGUCGUAACAAGGUAACCA